UACAGAGGUCCCGAGCGUUGUUCGGAUUCACUGGCGUAAAGGGUGCGUAGGCGGUCGGGUAAGUCUGAUGUGAAAUCUCACAGCUUAACUGUGAAACUGCAUUGGAUACUAUUCGGCUUGAGAGUUGGAGGGGACUGGAAUUCUUGGUGUAGCAGUGAAUGCGUAGAUAUCAAGAGGAACACCAGUGGCGAAGGCGAGUCCUGGACAACUUCUGACGCUGAGGCACGAAGCUAGGGAGCAACAGG
rnacentral:rRNA from 1 species